rnacentral:tRNA from 1 species
CGGGGUGUGGCGCAGUUUGGUAGCGCGCAUGCUUUGGGAGCAUGAAGCCGCGGGUUCGAAUCCCUCCACCCCGACCA